AGAGUUUGAUCCUGGCUCAGAACGAACGCUGGCGGCAGGCUUAACACAUGCAAGUCGAACGCCCCGCAAGGGGAGUGGCAGACGGGUGAGUAACACGUGGGAACCUACCCAGGGGUACGGAAUAACUCGGGGAAACUCGUGCUAAUACCGUAUACGACCUAAGGGUGAAAGAUUUAUCGCCCCUGGAUGGGCCCGCGUUGGAUUAGCUAGUUGGUGGGGUAAAGGCCUACCAAGGCUACGAUCCAUAGCUGGUCUGAGAGGAUGAUCAGCCACACUGGGACUGAGACACGGCCCAGACUCCUACGGGAGGCAGCAGUGGGGAAUCUUGGACAAUGGGCGCAAGCCUGAUCCAGCCAUGCCACGUGUGUGAUGAAGGCCUUAGGGUUGUAAAGCACUUUCGCCAGGGAAGAUAAUGACGGUACCUGGAUAAGAAGCCCCGGCUAACUCCGUGCCAGCCGCCGCGGUAAUUC
rnacentral:rRNA from 1 species